CCAUUCAACUCUUCUUUUUUAAGGGUACAGUUUAUUUGAGAGAAAUUUAAGGCUGAUAAACAUUCACUCGUAGAAUUUAGGAUACAAGCUAAAGUUCACAUUUUCUUACUAUUUAUAUAUGUAGUUCAAAUUUUCUAUAAUGCGUUGAUGACAGGUGUUGGGUACUUUUAUGUUAAAACAUUUUUGUGGUUUGAAUGUCAGAUUAAAUUGCAGACAGGAACCAAAAAACACUGCCUAAAAUAUGUAUAUGUAGUUUCUAUUUGAACUGUAGAAUUGAAUCAGCAUUUAUGCAGUUGAAACAGUUUAGGGUAGGAAUAGUUAGUCUGGUGCUCUUCUGAUGUUUUGGACUAAUUUCCUUCAGAUUAUAUACAGAAUUAAUAAUGACAAGUCAUUAUAGAAGUUUCUAACCUAUCUGAAGGAAAACACUUUGCUUACCAUUGAGUUAGAGGUAUGGUGCUUAUCAAAGGUCUGUUCACUGAAUAUGUUUUUAUCUAAACAUUCAGCAUGGAAUCGGCAUUAAGAAGCUUGUGAGUAGGAUUGGCUAAUAAUAAUUCACUUAUUUACUUAUUUAUUUGGCACAUUAUUCACCCAAUUAAUGAUGAGCAAUUGAAUCUUGCUUGGAAAGCAUUGUAUUUGCGGUACUGCAAGCGUCUGCCUGUUGUGUUGGAUUACUAACAGACUUGAGCAUGAAAUAAUAAACGAAUAUUUUGGUUUAGGAAUACCACAGACUAAUACUGAAUUUUCUGCUUAUUUAUUUCUAUACCUUCAUUGCCCCUUCUUUGAUUUAAUCAGAUUAAAUCACUGUGACCUAUGCAAUUUUAUCAAAAUCAAUACAAUAUCUGAUGUGAUUAUCAUGACAAGGGCAGCUGAAAAACAUAGGUCACCGUAAGCUCUUGUACUAAAUGAUAGCAUUGGCAAAUGAAUCCAAGGUCAUGGGGGAUAAAGGGAAAAAAACCUGGGAAAUUGUGUUAGAAUCUUGGGAAGCAAAAGGAUAUUAAACUGUAUUGAAAUGAAUUCAUGAAAAUAAGAGGACUUUUAAACAAUAGGAUAAGAUUAAAAGUAGGGAAGAAAACUGCUAUACAGUCUGUAGCCUUGAUUUGAUAUUCCACGCUAUUGUUCAAAGCUACUGUGAGAGAGCAGAAAUUGUUCUUGUGAUUUUCAUCAUUGCAUUGGGUUUUUUUCUUUGCUCCUUUCCUUCAUAGUAAAGAUUUGUAGGCAGUAUGUUCACAGGUGUAUUGUUAAAUAAAAACUUAUGUACAGUAGUAUGUUUUCUGUUAUUGGAUUUCCAAAAUCUGAACUAGAUCUGAGCAAAUCCCUCAUGAAUAGUGUUGAGAAAUGUAUUUGAUAACUUCAAAAGGGUUACCUCAGCCAACAAGAAGCUGUGCGCAUAUCCUAAUUACAUGAAUAAUCUGAUGCACUAAAAGCAUUGUUUUAUUUUGCAGAAUCUUCCAAUGCAACGUUAUUGACCAACGCAGAAAAAAUUGCUACAAUUACAACUACACAUACUCCUCAACAAAUGCCACAGGAGAACAGAAACAAUGCAAAGACAAAACAGGAAUCCCAGUUUGAUUUCAAAGCACCAACAGCCUCCCAGCCAGAACAAGAUUUUUACACUGUGGAACUUGAAAGAGGAGCUAAAGGAUUUGGCUUCAGUCUGCGAGGUGGCCGAGAAUAUAACAUGGAUCUCUAUGUCUUGCGGUUAGCAGAAGAUGGGCCUGCUGAGAGAUGUGGAAAAAUGAGGGUAUGUUACAAGCUCACAUGAGCUACCAUUUCUCCUUUGCCUUAUCUGCAGGCCAACCUUUCUACUCAGUUUCCUCCUUUUUUUCCUGUUUCGUUGCAGAAUACAGAUGACCUUAUUCAAGCCAUCAGACAAAAAUCAUCAGCAAAUGAUUUUUUUUUCUUUUGUUAUGUC